rnacentral:rRNA from 1 species
UACGGAGGGGGCUAGCGUUGUUCGGAAUUACUGGGCGUAAAGCGCACGUAGGCGGAUCAGCACGUUAGGGGUGAAAUCCCGGGGCUCAACCCCGGAACUGCCUUUAAAACUGUUGGUCUGGAGGUCGAGAGAGGUGAGUGGAAUUCCGAGUGUAGAGGUGAAAUUCGUAGAUAUUCGGAGGAACACCAGUGGCGAAGGCGGCUCACUGGCUCGAUACUGACGCUGAGGUGCGAAAGCGUGGGGAGCAAACAGG